rnacentral:rRNA from 1 species
ACGGAAGGCAGCAGUGGGGAAUAUUGCACAAUGGGGGAAACCCUGAUGCAGCGACGCCGCGUGAGUGAAGAAGUAUUUCGGUACGUAAAGCUCUAUCAGCAGGGAAGAAAAUGACGGUACCUGACUAAGAAGCCCCGGCUAACUACGUGCCAGCAGCCGCGGUAAUACGUAGGGGGCAAGCGUUAUCCGGAUUUACUGGGUGUAAAGGGAGCGUAGACGGCGAUGCAAGUCUGAUGUGAAAGCCCGGGGCUCAACCCCGGCACUGCAUUGGAAACUGUGUUGCUAGAGUGCAGGAGAGGUAAGUGGAAUUCCUAGUGUAGCGGUGAAAUGCGUAGAUAUUAGGAGGAACACCAGAGGCGAAGGCGGCUUACUGGACUGUAACUGACGUUGAGGCUCGAAAGCGUGGGGAGCAAACAGGAUUAGAUACCCUGGUA